ensembl:lncRNA
UUUUGAUAUAGGCUCUGGGAUGGACUCGGCAGUCUUGACACUGGCAGAAUUCCACCUUGCGACUAAAUUCUAAAUCCAUAUAUUUUGACAAUUGUUUGAAUGUGGCAGAAUACCACGUUGUGACUGGCUUUCAAUUUUGUAUAAUUGUUAUAACUGUCAGACGGCUGAUCAAAUUAAACAAAUUAAGAGUAAAGAGAACACCAAAUUUAUCAAUUUAAUUAAGUGAAUUUAAUUAAGUGUAUUUAAUUGAGUGUAUCUGAAUUGAAUAAAACUUUUUCUUUGUUGGGGGUGUCAACACACAAAGUAAUGGCUCAUGUGUAUGUAAAAGGAGCUCCUAACGAAGCUCUCACUGCUCAAGUAGCGAUGUUAGGCAUCGGAAAUAAAGAAAAGAUUAAACAGAAAAUGGCUAAAGAUGAAUUUAAAGAAAUAUGGGGUGCAUAGGCAGUGUGAAUGGGGGUGAUGAAGGAAGAUAAUAAGAUAAUGAUCCUAAGAAACAAAAGAAAUAUGCACAAGUUUUGUGUUGUUUGAGGAUUGUGCAAGCAAAAGGUAUUUUAACAUAUCGCAAUGGAAGAAUAGUUUAUGUGGAUAAACUGGCACAAGCCACUAGAGAUGCUACGCAAGAUAUGUGAGAUUUAUUAGACAUUGUAACUAAGGAACCAAGAGCAGAUACAGGGAGAGUUCCUAAAAUCGAUGAUAUUUAUAGCUGGCAGGAAUAUGCUUCAAAACUGAAAGCAGCGAUUGCCAAGGCAGGGAGACAUGUGACGAAUGUUUCUGAAAACUGUGGUAUACAGGUUGCAGCUAUUUCUCCUGGGCACUUGGAGGAAACUGAGGAUGAGUGGGGCGAGUAUUUGAAACUGCGUCCAAAACUACCCCGCUGUAGUGAAAUUGAUCAGGAAUCGACGGCGGCUGGUCAAGUGGGGGUUUAUCGAUCUAUGGGUGUGCGAGAUUUGACUAUUGUAAAUACAUUGCCACUCAUGAAAUCUAACAGUACCAAUUCAGAAUUUUGGGAUCGUUUGUGGGUAAUGGCAAGAGCCAACCGCCUAGCAGUAAAAGAUAAAAGAUCCGUAUUCAAUUUGGGAGCAAGUCUGCCCGUCUACAUACACGGGACAGAUCAUCUCACCCCUCCUUUACAGCCACCAGCGAAUGAAGAUGAUUACGCAACUCAGUACAGAGUGCUGCGUACUGAAGUACAGCGUGCAGUUGGAAAUGGAAUUCAAACUUUCACUAAUGUGACAAUGAUUAGGCAGGGUCCUAAUGAACCAUUUGUUGAUUACACUGAGCGAUUCACAAAGGCACUGAAAGAAUUUGUGGCCGCACGAUGGGGGCCUGACUUAGAUUCUCCAAUCAUGCUCCAUACUGCGCAGUUAAAUAUGAAUGCUAAAUUUACACAGUUGUUUCAUUCUUCUCUGUCAACAAUUAUUGACUGAUCUUCUUUUGUUGCAUGGGGGACACGGGCUCAAGACAUCGUGGAACAACAAAAGAAGGGACUAGUUGCUGCAGUUGGUCAGACCUCUGCUCCAGCAUUUCGCUGUUAUCAUUGCCAGCGUGAUGGUCACUACGCAAACAGGAUUAAACCUUUGAAUGUUUCAGAUCCUAUACAUCCUCCAGUAUUCCAGUAUCCUCUUCGGAGAGAAGCAGAGAGAGCUGCACAGGAAAUUGUGAACCAGCUUCAGGAAUCAGGGAUAUUGGUAAGGUGUACUUCCUCAAUGAACUUACCUAUGCAGCCUGUGAAAAAAAAAAAAAAAGCCAGAUGGUAGCUAUAGGUUAACUAUAGACUACACCGCAUUGAAUGCUGUGACUCCUAAAAUAACUCCUAUUGUGCUAAUCCGUCAACCAUUCUUAAUGACAUUUCUCCAAACCAUCGCUAUUUUAGUGCAGUAGACAUAACCAAU